rnacentral:rRNA from 1 species
CCUACGGGAGGCAGCAGUGGGGAAUAUUGCACAAUGGGCGAAAGCCUGAUGCAGCAACGCCGCGUGAGAGAUGAAGGCCUUCGGGUCGUUAAGCUCUGUCCUCAAGGAAGAUAAUGACGGUACGUGAGGAGGAAGCCCAGGCUCACUACGUGCCAGCAGCCGCGGUUAUACGUCGGCGGCGGGCGUUAUCCGGAAUUACGGGGCGUAAAGGGGGCGUAGUGGGUUUCUUAAGUCAGAGGUGAAAGGCUAGGGCUCAACCGUAGUAAGCCUUUGAAACUGGGAGACUUGAGUGCAGGAGAGGAGAGUGGAAUUCCUAGUGUAGCGGUGAAAUGCGUAGAGAUUAGGAGGAACACCAGUUGCGAAGGCGGCUCUCUGGACUGUAACUGACACUGAGGCACGAAAGCGUGGGGAGCAAACAGGAUUAGAUACCCCAGUAGUC